rnacentral:rRNA from 1 species
GACGAACGCUGGCGGCGUGCCUAAUACAUGCAAGUGGGACGCAAGAGAACACACUGUGCUUGCACACCGUGUUUUCUUGAGUCGCGAACGGGUGAGUAACGCGUAGGUAACCUGCCUAUUCGCGGGGGAUAACUAUUGGAAACGAUAGCUAAUACCGCAUAAUAUUAAUUAUUGCAUGAUAAUUGAUUGAAAGAUGCAAGCGCAUCACUAGUAGAUGGAACUGCGUUGUAUUAGCUAGUUGGUAAGGUAAGAGCUUACCAAGGCGACGAUACAUAGCCGACCUGAGAGCGUGAUCGGCCAAGCUGGGACUGAGACACGGCCCAGACACCUACGGGAGGCAGCAGUAGGGAAUCUUCGGCAAUGGACUAAAGUCUGACCGAGCAACGCCGCGUGAGUGAAGAAGGUUUUCGGAUCGUAAAGCUCUGUUGUAAGUCAAGAACGUGUGUGAGAGUGGAAAGUUCACACAGUGACGGUAGCUUACCAGAAAGGGACGGCUAACUACGUGCCAGCAGCCGCAGUAA